GAUUAACGCUGGCGGCGUGCAUAACACAUUCAAGUCGAACGGAGUAAGUUCCUUCGGGGAUUUACUUAGUGGCGGACGGGUGAGUGACGCGUGAGCAAUCUACCUCCCAGUGCGGAAUAACAACCGGAAACAGUUGCUAAUACCGCAUGAAAUAGCAGAACCGCAUGGUUCAACUAUCAAAGAUUCAUCGCUGGGAGAUGAGCUUGCGUCCGAUUAGGUAGUUGGUGAGGUAACGGCUCACCAAGCCGACGAUCGGUAGCCGGACUGAGAGGUUGAACGGCCACAUUGGAACUGAGAUACGGUCCAG
rnacentral:rRNA from 1 species